UUUCCGUAGGUGAACCUGCGGAAGGAUCAUUAUUGCAUCUUGAAACAUCAGGCUGCUGCUGGCUCUCCUCGGAGGGCAUGUGCACGCUUGUUGUACAUUCUUUCUACCACUGUGCACAAAUUGUAGACCUUUCAGUAGGCCUAUGUUGUUUUUCACAAUCUCUGAAUGUAAUAGAAUGGUUUUGAAUCUUGGGAAAUACAAUACAACUUUCAGCAACGGAUCUCUUGGCUCUC
rnacentral:misc_RNA from 1 species